rnacentral:rRNA from 1 species
CAGUAGCCACGGUAAAACGGAGGGGGCUAGCGUUGUUCGGAAUUACUGGGCGUAAAGCGCACGUAGGCGGCUUGGUAAGUUAGAGGUGAAAGCCUGGAGCUCAACUCCAGAAUUGCCUUUAAGACUGCCGAGCUAGCAGGUGAGAGAGGUAAGUGGAAUUCCGAGUGUAGAGGUGAAAUUCGUAGAUAUUCGGAAGAACACCAGUGGCGAAGGCGGCUUACUGGCUCAUACUGGACGCUGAGGUGCGAAAGCGUGGGGAGCAAACAGGAUUAGAUACCCGUGUAGUCCCUGUCUCUUAUAA